ACUCAGAAGGGCAUGCUAGUAAG
rnacentral:piRNA from 1 species